rnacentral:lncRNA from 1 species
UUCCCAUUGAAAGACGGGUACAACCACCAAGCUAAAGCCUUGUUUGCUAAUAAUAGUCUUUGGUUUUUCCACGUUGCCUACUACCCUACUUUCCUAACAAACAUACAGCAGAACAGAUGGUACUCUUGUAUCACUAUUUGAUUCCAGUACAUUUAUACUACCAGUUUAAAGUAAUUUAACUAUUCAUUAUAAAGAAAACUGUUCAGUGUAUGAC